rnacentral:rRNA from 1 species
CCUACGGGCGGCAGCAGUGAGGAAUCUUGGUCAAUGGUCGGAAGACUGAACCAGCCAAGCCGCGUGAGGGAGGAAGGUACAGAGUAUCGUAAGCCUCUUUUGUCAGGGAACAAAGACUGGGACGCGUCCCCGGAUGAGUGUACCUGAAGAACAAGCAUCGGCUGACUCCGUGCCAGCAGCCGCGGUAAUACGGAGGAUGCGAGCGUUGUCCGGAUUUAUUGGGUUUAAAGGGUGCCGAGGCGGGCUGGUAAAUCAGCUGGCAAAGCCCGGGGCUCAACCCCAGCCCGGCAGUUGAACUUGGCAGUCUUGAGUGGGAGAGAAGUAUGCGGAAUGCGAGGUGUAGCGGUGAAAUGCAUAGAUAUCGCGCAGAACUCCGAUUGCGAAGGCAGCAUGCUGGCUCCACACUGACGCUGAGGCACGAAAGCGUGGGUAUCGAACAGGAUUAGAUACCCCGGUAGUC